rnacentral:rRNA from 1 species
CGACCGGCGCACGGGUGAGUAACACGUAUGCAACCUGCCCUCUUCAGGGGGACAACCUUCCGAAAGGGAGGCUAAUCCCGCGUAUAUCGGUUUCGGGCAUCCGAGAUCGAGGAAAGAUUCAUCGGAAGAGGAUGGGCAUGCGGCGCAUUAGCUAGACGGCGGGGUAACGGCCCACCGUGGCGACGAUGCGUAGGGGUUCUGAGAGGAAGGCCCCCCACACUGGAACUGAGACACGGUCCAGACUCCUACGGAAGGCAGCAG